GGAGAGAUGCUGGAGCGGUUGAACGGGGCGGUCUCGAAAACCGUUGUGGGUUAUGCCUACCGAGGAUUCGAAUCACUCUCUCUCCG
rnacentral:tRNA from 1 species